rfam:Gossypium arboreum cultivar AKA8401 contig_156_1, whole genome shotgun sequence.
UAUUGAAAAUUUUAUCUACUUUUUACAGUUUAGAAUUGACGUGACUAACAGAAUAACUAAAAUAUUAUAUAUGGCGUGUCACGUGUAUCUCAUCCUGGCUUGCAAGGAUAAACUUUUAACCAUAAAAAUUGAUGAAAAUUUUAAUA